rnacentral:rRNA from 1 species
CUAGCCUUAUCGGUGGAUCACUCGGCUCGUGGAUCGAUGAAGAACGCAGCCAACUGCGAUAAUUAGUGUGAACUGCAGAAACCUUGAACACAGAACUUUCGAAUGCACAUUGCGCCAUUGGAGUAACAUCCAUUGGCACGCCUGGUUCAGGGUCGUAAC